rnacentral:rRNA from 1 species
UACAGAGGGGGCAAGCGUUGUUCGGAAUUACUGGGCGUAAAGGGCGCGUAGGCGGCCUUCUAAGUCGGACGUGAAAUCCCCGGGCUCAACCCGGGAACUGCGUCCGAUACUGGAAGGCUUGAAUCCGGGAGAGGGAUGCGGAAUUCCAGGUGUAGCGGUGAAAUGCGUAGAUAUCUGGAGGAACACCGGUGGCGAAGGCGGCAUCCUGGACCGGCAUUGACGCUGAGGCGCGAAAGCCAGGGGAGCAAACGGG